rnacentral:rRNA from 1 species
UUGGAGAGUUUGAUCCUGGCUCAGGACGAACGCUGGCGGCGUGCUUAACACAUGCAAGUCGAACGAAGAGCGAUGGAAGCUUGCUUCUAUCAAUCUUAGUGGCGAACGGGUGAGUAACGCGUAAUCAACCUGCCCUUCAGAGGGGGACAACAGUUGGAAACGACUGCUAAUACCGCAUACGAUCCAAUCUCGGCAUCGAGACUGGAUGAAAGGUGGCCUCUAUUUAUAAGCUAUCACUGAAGGAGGGGAUUGCGUCUGAUUAGCUAGUUGGAGGGGUAACGGCCCACCAAGGC